AUUGAACGCUGGCGGCAGGCCUAACACAUGCAAGUCGAACGAGUGGCGGACGGGUGAGUAAUGUCUGGGAAACUGCCUGAUGGAGGGGGAUAACUAUUGGAAACGGUAGCUAAUACCGCAUACCAUCGGAUGUGCCCAGAUGGGAUUAGAUAGUGGGGGGGGUAACGGCUCACCUAGGCGACGAUUCCUAGCUGGUCUGAGAGGAUGACCAGCCACACGUGAACUGAGCCACGGUCCAGACUCCAACGGGAGGCAGCAGUGGGGAAUAUUGCACAAUGGGCGCAAGCCUGAUGCAGCCAUGCCGCGUGUAUGAAGAAGGCAUUCGGGUUGUAAAGUACUUGCUGCGUGGAGGCGUUACCAGCAGAAGAAGCACCGGCUAACUCCGUGCCAGCAGCCGCGGUAAUAC
rnacentral:rRNA from 1 species